rnacentral:lncRNA from 1 species
AAUAGAGACACAGAGACGGUGUUUUGUUAUGUUGCCCAGGCUGGUCUUGAACUCCUGGACUCAAGUGAUCCGCCCGCCUUGAUAUCCCAAAGUACUGGGAUUACAGGUGUGAGCUGCCUCGCCCAGCCAGUAUGUGAAAUAAUAAUAACUUUUAUUGAUUUUUUUCUUAUCUCAAAAGUAAUCCUUUUGCUUGUGUCCCCUGGUGGAAGUCUCUUGCCUCUGGGAGCCAGGAUCCUGGGAGCCGCGGAGCCUAAAGUUGUGGGAUGGAAAGCAGACAUUCCCCAGGCGUGAGCUGAUACAGAGCCAUGGGAGAAACAAUCAGGAGACGCUGGCGUCCGGGCCAUCCUUCUGUGUAGCUGGCCAAGCCCAGUCCUGCUGAUGGGCCAGUGUGUGCCCGUGGCUUGUUGGGUUUCUCAGCCCCUGGCUCAGGGCCGGCAGCCUGCAGGCGGCACGGUCACUGGACACCCCGUGGUUAGUUGCCCGGCCAGGACCAGGCCCCCCAGCACGCCAGGAGCUGCUGUUUUGGAAUUGGAUGUGGUUCCCCGCUGCGGCGUGGCCCUGCUCGGGGACUCCGGUCUUGCCCUGUGCUACGGAACUGCACUGUGCCUGGCCUGACAUCCUACCCAGCACACUCACCCACCGCGGGUGCCUGGAGCGCCACGGGAUCUGCCGGCCAAACGGCCCAAGUGGCAGGAUUCCUUGGACCUGAGCCUCGAGCUGUGGCAGAGUCCUUGCAUCAAGGCGCCACUUGAACCUGGCAUUUUCCAUGCCUGUUGAUGAGUGUGGCAGAGCCGUUUUACCUAACGCAGAAUAAUCUGCUCCUGCAUCUAACACAGCCUACGGAGCCCGGUGCUCCUGUCUUCGUGGUAGAAGAUUCUGUUUUGUUUCAGAAUUUCAUAAUAGUCCCAUUCACAACAGCCAAAAAUAGAAACGACUGAAGCGUCCACCAACAGGGGAAGGACCGAAUUACAAUAUGACCAGAGACUAAACGCCGGCAGCGGUGAAGACGGAUGGAUCGCUGGCAUUCUGCACAGCACGGGGAUGCCGUCCCCACCAAAGGGGUGAAGCCAUGAACCAAUCGGAGCCAAUCAGAGAACUCCAUCUCCCCAACCACAGCAAUGGAUCACAGCCCGGCCGUCGGUCCCUCCGUGAGAUUGGGUAUAUGGGUGUUGGGAAAUGAAAGCAUUUUCUUUCUCUGGAAUUACCAUCUGUAAGGAUGGGAUGGGUCUGGGGAGAGUCUGCCUGCCUGAGAAACGCAACAAUAAAAACAUUCGCGGAGCCCUUGCUGUGUGCCAGGCCCUGCUCUCCAAAGUUUACAAGCAUGGACUCCUGUUGUCCUCACAAUAACCGCAUGGGGACAGAUAGGAGUGAUGUUCAAAACAUUUAAUAACUGGGCUGGGCGUGGUGGCUCACACCUGUAAUCCCAACACUACGGGAAACUGAGGCAGGAGGAAUGCUUGAGGCCAGGAAUUCAAGACCAGCCUGGGCAACAUAGUGAGACCCUGUCUCUAAAAAAAUUAAUAAAUUAGCCGAGCGUGGUGGUGAGCACCUGUAGUUCCAGCUACUCAGGAAGCUGAGGCGGGAGAAUUGCUUGAGCCCAAGAGGUCGAGGCUGCAGUGAGC